CAAAGUCUGCCUCUGGGAUCAGGAGGAACUUAUCAUUUCACCUCCAUCAGCUCUGAGGACAGAGGAUUCUACGACUGCAAAUCUGAUGAUCAGUCUGUGUCUUUGUUCAUAAAUGUCCUGUAUGCUCCAAAGCUUCCCUCUGUGUCAGUGAGCCCAUCUGGUGAGAUAAUGGAGGGAAGUUCAGUGACUCUGACCUGCAGCAGUGAUGCUAACCCAGCAGCUAACUACACCUGGUACAAGGAGAAUGAAGACUCACCACUUCAUUCAGGACAGACCUUCACCAUGACUGACUUCAGAGCUGAACACAGUGGGAAUUAUUACUGUGAAGCUCAGAACACGAGAGGACGUCAUAACUCCACCUUAUAUCUGAAUGUUGCAUCACGUUCAUGGAAGUUCCCAGUUGCUCUGUUGAUCGCUGCUGUCAUGUUGGCCUUCAUUCUUCUCUUUCUCCUGCUAUGGAUUAG